AAACCAUGUUGUGGGCACAAACUAACAAGAUCCUUUAACUGCUCCCAACAUUGGAAGAAUGUUUCAUCUUCCUUUUGGACGAAGUUCAUGUUUGACUUUUUGAGUGU